AACGAACGCUGGCGGCGCGCCUAAUACAUGCAAGUCGAGCGAGAAGGUGUAGCAAUACACUUGUAAAGCGGCGAACGGGUGAGGAAUACAUGGGUAAUCUACCAUCGAGUGGGGAAUAACCAACCGAAAGGUUGGCUAAUACCGCGUACGCCUCCGAGUCUUCGGGUUCGGAGGGAAAGCUGCACUGUGAGUGUAGCGCUCUUUGAUGAGCUCAUGUCCUAUCAGCUUGUUGGUAGGGUAACGGCCUACCAAGGCUUUGACGGGUAGCUGGUCUGAGAGGACGAUCAGCCACACUGGCACUGCGACACGGGCCAGACUCCUACGGGAGGCAGCAGUAAGGAAUAUUGCGCAAUGGGCGAAAGCCUGACGCAGCGACGCCGCGUGGAGGAUGACGGUUUUCGGAUUGUAAACUCCUGUUAAGCGGGAAGAAAGCCUUGUUUCUAAUACAAGCAAGGUAUGACGGUACCGCUAGAGAAAGCAUCGGCUAACUUCGUG
rnacentral:rRNA from 1 species